rnacentral:rRNA from 1 species
GCGAACUCGCGAGGGCAAGCUAAUCUCUUAAAACCGUUCUCAGUUCGGACUGCAGUCUGCAACUCGACUGCACGAAGUCGGAAUCGCUAGUAAUCGCGGAUCAGCAUGCCGCGGUGAAUACGUUCCCGGGCCUUGUACACACCGCCCGUCACACCAUGGGAGUUUGCAAUGCCCAAAGCCGGUGGCCUAACCUUCGGGAAGGAGCCGUCUAAGGCAGGGCAGAUGACUGGGGUGAAGUCGUAACAAGGUAGCCGUAGGAGAACCUGCGGCUGGAUCACCUCCUUUCUAAGGAA